rnacentral:misc_RNA from 1 species
UGACGAAAUCUUCUUUCAUGUGUCAAAGUGGAGAUUUCCCAUCCCAUAAGCUAGGUAGCUUUUCUCUGUUUUGGAUGCAAGAGUCAAUGCAAAGCACUUAAUUAUCUUUACAGAUUAAUUUGAUACCUUUAGACAUAUUGCUAGUAUAUUUACAGUUUAUAGUUUCUGGUAACCAAGAGUUUGCUCCUGGUUGGGCACAUUGCUGCCAUUAUGGUAUAGGAUGGUGAUUUUGUAUUGAUGUUGGAUUUAGAAAGGUAGCUACAUGUAUAUACUUAUGGAUCUGUUAUUUGUAAUAGCUAAAACAAUCCCCCUUUUUUAAUUAACCUCUCUUUGCCUGAGAGAAUCCAUAUGUUCUAUUGAUUGAAGGUGCUGUGAUAUUAUGUUCAAUCAAACUAAGUGAUAUUCAUUUCAUGUUGUCUUCCAUGGUGAAUGUUCACAAUAUUGUGUGUUGAAUGUCAAAAUGUUCAGGUAACCUACCGAUAUACAGUAAUGGUGUCUACAAUAUAAAUUGAACUUUGGCAAACUUCCUUUAGACUGUGCAACUAAGAGGUCAAGACAUUUGUAACCCAUUUAUCUUUUUUCUUAAAGCCUGAAAAAUUUUGGCUGUAGAAGAUGACAUAUUUCUCCUUCACAAAGGUUUUUUUGCAUUUCUUUUCUAAGAAGUUUUACCGGUAAUUUCUGUACAUAUAUACAAAUGUAUGUUUUAAUUUUUAAGUGAGAAAUUAAAGACUAACUGAAAAAAUGCAAUUAUUUUAUUAUGUACUCAAGAAUCUAUAGCAGUAAUGCUUUUAGGGUUGCUUGAAACCUGUAUAUAUAUAAAGAAUCUAUUUUUAUGUAUUUUGUUGUUUGUUGGAUGGUCGUAACACAUGUUACAAUCCACUUUCUUAUGGAGGUUUAUAAAUCCAGAAGGUUUGAUUCAGGUUGUUUUUUUUCUAAAUAUUUUUAAUUUUUUCAUAAUGAAUUAAGGAUCUUGCACAGCUAGUGAGGAAUGACAGCUGAUUUUUUGUGGGUUUUUUUUUCCUUUGAAUAAAUUCAUUAAAUAUGGGUUUUAAUGAUUUGAUGUAUAAUUUGCAUGUUUUGGUUAUUAUGCUAUUUGUUCAUAAAUCCAAGGUCAUGUUCUUUGUCAGGGGGGGGGGCUAUUUGACUUAUAUACUUCUUAUGCAUCACCCUAUAUAUCAAAAUGAUGAAACUAUUUCAAGGUGUAUUGAUCGGGCCAUCUUAAUCUGACAUCCUUUUUUUCUUUUUCUUGACUUUAUGAUGCAUAUAUUUUUUACAAUACAUAGGAAUGUUGAUUUUGAUAACUGUAGACAGUCUGACAGUGUGCUCCUGUCACAGUCUCGGGAUAUAAAGUUGUUAGAAUAUAAUUCUAUUUUUUUAAAUUGAUUAUCAAUCAUGUUAUAUAUGAUAACUUGUGCUCAAUUAAUUUUUUUGUUGUUGCUUUUUUACAGAGAAUAUGUAUAUGUAUGUACUAUUUUAUCAAUAUAGUAAUAAAAAAAUAUCCCAGCC